GAUGAACGCUGGCGGCGUGCCUAAUACAUGCAAGUCGAGCGAACGGACGAGAAGCUUGCUUCUCUGAUGUUAGCGGCGGACGGGUGAGUAACACGUGGAUAACCUACCUAUAAGACUGGGAUAACUUCGGGAAACCGGAGCUAAUACCGGAUGAUAUUUUGAACCGCAUGGUUCAAAAGUGAAAGACGGUCUUGCUGUCACUUAUAGAUGGAUCCGCGCUGCAUUAGCUAGUUGGUAAGGUAACGGCUUACCAAGGCAACGAUGCAUAGCCGACCUGAGAGGGUGAUCGGCCACACUGGAACUGAGACACGGUCCAGACUCCUACGGGAGGCAGCAGUAGGGAAUCUUCCGCAAUGGGCGAAAGCCUGACGGAGCAACGCCGCGUGAGUGAUGAAGGUCUUCGGAUCGUAAAACUCUGUUAUUAGGGAAGAACAUAUGUGUGAGUAACUGUGCACAUCUUGACGGUACCUAAUCAGAAAGCCACGGCUAACUACGUG
rnacentral:rRNA from 1 species